rnacentral:rRNA from 1 species
UACGUAGGGGGCAAGCGUUGUCCGGAUUUAUUGGGCGUAAAGAGCGUGUAGGCGGUUUGGUAGGUCCGCUGUGAAAACUCGAGGCUCAACCUCGAGACGCCGGUGGAAACCAUCAGACUAGAGUCCGGAAGAGGAGAGUGGAAUUCCUGGUGUAGCGGUGAAAUGCGCAGAUAUCAGGAAGAACACCAAUAGCGAAGGCAGCUCGCUGGGACGGUACUGACGCUGAGACGCGAAAGCGUGGGGAGCAAACAGG